rnacentral:rRNA from 1 species
GGUGGAACGAGGGCUUAACUGUCUCCCCCCUCUAGUCAAUGAAAUUGAUCUACCCGUGCAGAAGCGGGUAUAACAAUACAAGACGAGAAGACCCUUUGGAGCUUAAGAUAAAAGACCAACUAUGUCAAAAGUCCUAAAAACUAAACUAAAUAGCUCUGGUCCCAAUCUUCGGUUGGGGUGACUGCGGGAGAAAACACAGCUCCCAUGCGGACUGGGGACCCCCUAAAACUAAGAGAGACAUCUCUAAGGCACAGAACAUCUGACCAAAAAGAUCCGGCUAUAUGCCGACCAACGGACCAAGUUACCCUAGGGAUAACAGCGCAAUCCCCUUUCAGAGUCCAUAUCGACGAGGGGGUUUACGACCUCGAUGUUGGAUCAGGAC